rnacentral:rRNA from 1 species
UAAAGAACCUACCUUAUAGACAGGGACAACUAUUGGAAACGAUAGCUAAUACCUGAUAAGAAAGAAACUCGCAUGAGAGAAGUUCGAAAGUCGGAGCAAUCUGACACUAUAAGAUGGCUUUGCGGUGCAUUAGCUAGUUGGUAGGGUAAAAGCCUACCAAGGCGACGAUGCAUAGCCGACCUGAGAGGGUGAUCGGCCACAUUGGGACUGAGACACGGCCCAGACUCCUACGGGAGGCAGCAGAG